UUUGAAAAACAGUACCGAACUUUCACACUUUGACCUUGAAUCAAUUUAGAAUAUUCAACAUUGUCUAAAGCGUCAACCUGCCAAGAUUGUUUGAGAUUGACUCAAUAGGCUGGAGGUAAUUAACCAACAGGCUUUACAAAAUAGGAAUAGAGUUAAGUUCAAUUUUGACCCCUUAGGACAUUCCCCUUAGUUCAUAGUUUUUACAUACAAAUUUCAGUUGAGAUUGGCCCAAUAGACUCGGAGGAGUUACGGUGCAAACAAACCCACAUUUCGUCUAUAUAUAUAGAUAUAUAUAUAUAUACGUCGUUACAGUUGUUUCUCUAAGUGGAUGUUAUUUUCAUGCUGUGGUCUAUUUAAUUUAGUACAAUAAAUAGCCAAUAGGUGGAUGAUGGAGGCUGAUAUUGUGAAUUAAUCACGAAAAUGACUUCAAACAUCGACAGCCAGAAAGCACUUCCAAAACAGGAAGUGACAUUAAAAGGAAGUGAAAAUUUCGGAACUAGAUGUUCAACUUUACUUUCUGACCAUAUUUUGUUUCCACCUUCAUGCUGGGAGACUUUCAGAAAACGUUCAGCUGUUUUAUAAAUUCUCACUCGCCUGCGAGCUUGUAUGCAAAUUAAUUCAUUAAUUAAGAUCGCUCGUGACCACGUAAAUAUCUGUGUUUAAAAAUUGAACAUCUCUGGAUUUUUUUAAACACCUAUAAAAACCUGGAAGUAACGAAACCCAUUGUAAACACCUGUGCGGGUUUACGAAGAAACACCAGAAGUGAAGAAAAAUAAAAGUCUGAAGACGUCAUGCUUUUAGGAAGUAUUUUGUUAAACAUUUGUUUCUAACAUGACAGACGGUAAUGCCAUUUUACCGAAUGACACGGCAAUAACGCUAAAAAGUCACAGCACCAAAAUAUAACGAUGUGUUUUCUAUGAUACUAACGAGUUUUGGCAUUGUGCGAAAGACCUCUUGGGUAAUGACUUGUGAGAUUUGGUCUGUACAAUACGACAUAGCAACGGUAUUAACCACUUUGUUCUGCUUAUUGUACUGAAUGUUUGGAGAUGAUCCGCUUACAACAAUACAUGAUAAUUAUACUUACGGUAAUUGAUGAAACUAAUAGGCUUAAAUUGUUUGUGAUAAAAAAACGCGUUAACUUCAGAUUUUUUGCCACAUUCCUCCUUUGUUUGUCUCCCACAAAUCAGCCUAACUAAUGAGUCUUGGUAUUGAACGAAAGACCUCUUGGGCAGUGACCUUGAAUCGGCAAUGAACAAAUAGGGAGGAAUGUGGAAAAACACACAUCUGCAGUUAACGUGAUUUUGUAUCACAAAGUUUUAGGCCUAGUGAGUUGAAGGUAAUGACGCCUGUUACAAUAAAAAUGCUGUUUCUGGACAUUUAUAGAAUUGUAUAACGGUUUGGCUCAUUAGUUGCUAUGGCGACGCUGUAGAGAAAUAUUGUUACUUUACGUUAUGUGAUAUUCAAUCUAGCUGCUCUUAGCGUCGUAAGUUCACGUAAAAGGAAAGCUGUUAAACGUAACAAUUAAUUCACAGAUCUUAAUGGUGUAAUUUGACACACACAAAACGUUGAAGAGAUCGUAAACAAAUAAAUAGAGAUAUACAUAUAGUAACCAAGUUUUUAUUUUCAACGGUUUGUUUUCUUUCAAAGUUUGUAGUGCAUACUGGAGGGAUUUACACAUUGUGAUAAAACUUUACAUAAACGACCUCUACACUCCAGAUGUAAAUAUAUAUAUUUGUUUUUGUAUUACUACCAACGUUUCGCUUUUACGGCUUCUUCAGGGUUAAUACAUACGAACUGUUUGAUACUGAAGUAUACAUAUUUACAUCUGGGGUGUAAAGGUCAUUUAUCUAAACUAUUUUCAAUGGGGGCUAACUUCAUAUCAUUAAAACAAAAAAUGUCUCUUAUGUUUCGAGACAUCAGUGGCUCUCCGAUAAUGACUCCAUUUAUCUCGUAUGACAAAGUAUAGAAAUCUCAGAAGAGCUAUAAUAAAAGUGCAUUCUGUGUUCGCUACGAAUUAAUUUUUCUAAGAACCGUAGAAGACACCAAAUACGCGUGUUCGUUCAGGUAAGUAAUGUUAAACGCGUUAAAUGCGUUGUAACAAAAAUAGCACUUUUAUCAAUGUCACUGUAGUAUGUAAAAAAUUACCAAAGUUAUUGGUAAUCACGCCAUCUAUAAACUAGCUUAUAAAAUAAGAAACUGCUGACUUUUAUCGGGCGAGGGUACUUUUAAUGCAAGGGGCAUGGCCUAAUGAUUAGCGGGCCAGAGUGUAAUUCCGAUACAAGUUUCGUUACCGCAAAAACGCGCCCUGCACUUUCGUGCCGUAGAUGCGUAAUAAGAGUGACGGUCAAAUCCAAAAAUUAUAUUACAGUAGGUUCUAGAUUAGGAACUAGCGCACAUAGCCCUUUUGUAGCUUUAUCUGAAACAAACAACUUAGUGCGGUUCUGUUAAACAAUGUUACUCCCCAUAUUUAAGGAAUACACAACCAAAUGACCUUUAAAUACCUGGAUGAGCGUAAUCCAACAGGUGAACAGUAUAUCAGUGUGUCCGUUGAUAUUCAACCUUAUUAAUUAAUAAGCAUCUUAAGAGGGUUGAAGUAAAUAACAGAUAUUUUAUUAAUGUUCAUUUUGUAGUAAUGUUGUUUUUAUUUAAUUAGACACUCAAAGUUUCGUUUUACAGCUUCUUCAGAAGCGUUCACUAAAACACAAACCGAAACUGACUUUGUACUUUCAAUUUCUGUUUGUGUUUUAGUGAACGCUCCUAAAAAAAGCUGUAACAGUUUAAAGAGAUUUAUGUUAAAUUACGUAAAGAGUUGUGUAACAGUGUUAUCAUAAUGAAUAUUAUAAUUUAUUCGUAUUAAAACUAAUGCGCAGUUAUUUAAGUGACAUUUUUUAUAAGCUCGAACAUAACCCUCUGCAAAGUGCAUAAUAAAGUUUAGUAGCGCCAUCUGUUAGUUAGUUGUGAAUAUAUUUUUGACAUAUUAGAAUAUUAUUAUGAAUUUGUAGGUUUUUCUAAGUUGUUAUUUUCAUGCUAUCAGUUUCAAUGUUAUUUUACAUUUCUAUUUGCACUAACUUUACUGGUUAUGUUUUAUUUUUUAUGUUGUGUAACAAUAUUGUAAUGUACUGU
rnacentral:lncRNA from 1 species